CCUACGGGGGGCAGCAGUGGGGAAUAUUGGGCAAUGGGCGCAAGCCUGACCCAGCAACGCCGCGUGAAGGAAGAAGGCCCUCGGGUUGUAAACCUCCUUUAAGAGGGAAGAGCAGAACACGGUACCUCUUGAAUAAGCCAUGGCUAACGACGUGCCAGCAGCCGCGGUAAUACGUAGGUCGCAGGUGUUGUCCGGAUUUACUGGGUGUAAAGGGCGUGUAGCCGGGCUGACAAGUCAGAUGUGAAAUUCCGGGGCUCAACCCCGGACCUGCGGUUGAAACUGUUGGUCUUGAGUAUCGGGGAGGCAUGCGGAAUUCGUAGUGUAGCGGUGAAAUGCGUAGAUAUUAGGAGGAACACCAGUGGCGAAGGCAGCAUGCUGGACGGCAACUGACGGUGAGGCGCGAAGGCGUGGGGAGCGAACAGGAUUAGAUACCCCUGUAGUC
rnacentral:rRNA from 1 species